UCUGAAUUUUAAUGAGCGGCGUAAAGUCCAGGAGGGGACAUUACGAGUUAUGUAUAUAUAGAAACGGAAAAUUUGCGAACUGUAUCAGAAUAAUUGCAAAUACUCUUUCCAAAGCUUCUUUACAAAACCAACCAAAAUGAUCAAACUUGUGAGCCUUGUACUCCUCGUAUUGGCACUCAUCGCUGCCGUCGCGGUUGCAGUCCCACGUCCGCAACUGCUCUACUCAGGACUAGGAUAUUCAUAUGGAUCAUAUGUUCCAGCUGUGGCCAGCUACUCAUCACCUUACGUGGUGUACUGAUCGGCGAAUACAGUGAUCUCAUAAUGCCUAAUAGUGGUCCUUUUGGUUAACGAUUUGUGCAUCGACUAGGCUCAAUGAUUCUUGUCCCCUGAUUGUGUUAUUAUGCAGAGUAUACUCCUGUUAAUUUAAUCCUUAGAAUUAAAACUCUCGCAUUUUCAAAAAGAAAGAAAUGUUGUUUGUUUAGAUAAUAAAUAAGUUUGCCGAAAA